rnacentral:sRNA from 1 species
AUAUUUUUCAAAGCUAUGUAGUUCAUGACCGUAUGCUGACCUUCACACUUUUAGAGUAUCUUUAUUAGUAGUCUCUCACAUAGUUUUUCAUUAACUAAAAAAUAUAAAAUAAUAAUAAAGUAUAAGAGAGAUAAGAAAAAGAUUGAAAACAGUUUCUAUGCAGAAAAACUUUAAAGUAAUGAUUGAGAGACUAUAUGUAUAUGUGUAUGUUUAUAAUUGGACAGAAACUAAAUUAUAAUAAAAUAUAUAUU